rnacentral:rRNA from 1 species
UACGGAGGGUGCGAGCGUUGUCCGGAAUUACUGGGCGUAAAGCGCGUGUAGGCUGCUCUGCAAGUCGGAUGUGAAAGCCCUGGGCUCAACCUAGGAAGUGCAUUCGAAACUGCAGAGCUGGAGUCCUGGAGAGGAAGGCGGAAUUCUCGGUGUAGAGGUGAAAUUCGUAGAUAUCGAGAGGAACACCGGUGGCGAAGGCGGCCUUCUGGACAGUGACUGACGCUGAGACGCGAAAGCGUGGGGAGCAAACAGG